rnacentral:rRNA from 1 species
UACGGAGGGGGGAAGCGUUGUUCGGAAUUACUGGGCGUAAAGGGCACGUAGGCGGACUGGAAAGUCAGGGGUGAAAUCCUGGGGCUUAACCCCGGAACUGCCUUUGAUACUCCAGGUCUUGAGGGCGAGAGAGGUGAGUGGAAUUCCGAAUGUAGAGGUGAAAUUCGUAGAUAUUCGGAGGAACACCAGUGGCGAAGGCAGCUGACUGGCACGAUACUGACGCUGAGGUACGAAAGCGUGGGGAGCAAACAGG